ensembl:lncRNA
GGAGAAGUCUGGCCUGAAAGACCAGGUGGAGACACUACGAGGAACAGUACAGGACAUGGGGAACCUGCUACAUGCUGUUGAGGUGGAGAAGUCUAGCCUGAAAGACCAGGUGGAGACACUGCGAGGAACAGUGCAGGACAUGGAGAACAUGUUAUCUGAGACUCACACAGAGCGUGACAAGCUAAUGAAUGAGUGUGAGUGUGAGCGGGAGGAUCACAACAUCCUCAAGUACGAGUACGAGGAGAUGAAGGAGACUCUCAAUAACAAGGAGGAGUUACUGAAGGUCUCCCUGUCUGAAGCUGAGGAGAAACACCAGAUGGCUUUGGAGACCAUUGCUGAGCUCAAGGUGAAGAAGUCUGGCCUGAAAGACCAGGUGAAGACACUGCAAGGAAGAAUGGAGCUCACGGGGAACGUGCACAAUGAAACUUACCAGUGCGCUAUUCGUUUAAUGACUGUAAGUGAGAGAAGUCUUGCAUUAAGCAGCUCCUUUAGAAAUACAAGGACUUUUUCAUGUUUCUGCUGCAUGGAGUUUCAUUUAACCAAAAUUAACAUUAUAUUUUCAAGUUGUUAGAUUGUAUUAAUUAACAGAAAUGGCCUAUUGCAGAAGCACUCAAGUUUGAACAUCUUUUGCCCCAUGUUUGUGUAGGAGAUUCAGGUGAAGGACGAUGAGAUGAAGCGUCUGAUAGACGCAGACAAGAUAGUGAAGGUAAACCUUCCUUCUCAUGAAUCUAUGACUGGUAUUGUAUUAUUUUGUGUGUGUGUUUGUAUGUGUGUACUUGUUUCCUCACAUUUUGGGGACAAUUUGUCCUUUUCCCCUAAUACAUUUUAGACCAUUCUCAUGAGUAAUGAGUCUGUUUCUAAAAGUGUCUGAAACUGUGUGUAGAAGUAAAUAAAGCCAAUAAACCUUAAUUGUUG